GACGUAGGGGGCAAGCGUUGUCCGGAUUUAUUGGGCGUAAAGAGCUCGUAGGCGGUCCAGUAAGUCGGAUGUGAAAUCUCCAGGCUCAACCUGGAGAGGCCAUUUGAUACUGCUGUGACUAGAGUCCGGUAGGGGAGUGUGGAAUUCCCGGUGUAGCGGUGAAAUGCGCAGAUAUCGGGAGGAACACCAGUGGCGAAGGCGGCACUCUGGGCCGGAACUGACGCUGAGGAGCGAAAGCGUGGGUAGCAAACAGG
rnacentral:misc_RNA from 1 species